ensembl:lncRNA
AAUGAGUGGUGUCUUGGUUGUAAACUGGUCCAGCUGAAGCAGAGCUCUGGGACGUGUGGACAGACAUUGACUGUAUUGAUGGACAUCUGCUCAUGGACAGCAUAACCGCUGCUGGUCACAGUGCCCGAAGCUCCAGGGGGAGACCGUAAUGAUAUCCCCCUUCUUUGGGCGCGCCUUCACACACACUCCACCAUUCACUCAUAUCGCAGAGACCUGGCUGGGAUUGAACCAGCAACCUCUGAACCGUGAGGCAGCGCUCUUACCUGUGAGCCACAGGUCUCUUGUUGAACCACCAGAAGGAACUUAUAUUUGACUGUUUACCUGUGAUUUCCCAAUAAAGAAGUUAAAGUAAGCUGGGUCUGUGAUUUUUGGAGAUGGGUUUUGAACCCAUGUCUCCAUUGCAAGCUCAUGCUCAGAGAAUGUGUGUUUAUCCACUUACCCAUCAUGGAUUCCUCGUUGUUUUUUGGCGUUUGAGUGACUUUGUUGUCUGAGAUCAACGUAAAGUAAGCAGUAGUGGGAUUUGAACUCCGAGCUCCCGGAUUACAAUGCAAAGUUUUAUCUUCUGAGCCACUGAGUCUGUGGAGCUAAAGCACCACAGGAGGACGAAACCAGUUUAAGUUCAUUAGACUCGAUUGUAAUUCACAAAAAUCACCACAGCAUGUCUUAUGAGUCUGCUCUGAACCGAGUCUAAUGAACGCCCUCCUGUGGUUUUUUUGUGCAUUGCUAUUUUAGGUCAAUGUUUGUAUAUGAUUUUGUUCUGUCCUCUUCUACUAAAAAUAAACUGGUAUGCAAAAAAAAGUCAGAGGACCUAAAGCAGGCCCUCCUGUGGUGAUUUUUGUGAAUUACACCGCUGCAAACUGAAUCUAAUGAACUUGAAGAGGAAUUUGUUCUGUUCUGUUCUUGUUAAAAUAUAUAUAUAUAUAUUUUUUUUUUGUUUAAAUCAACAAUUUCUCAGGAAAUCAGAUUGACAGAACCUAAAGUGCAGCUUUGCCUCCGCUCCACUAGGCGGCACAAGCGGGUUUCACCUUCAGUCUGACACCUCCGGCUGCUUGACAACAUGACGCUUGAUGACAGUCACAACAACAACACGCGCCGAUCCUGCAGAAGACAGCUGUUAAGUUUAACAACAUGUUUUUCAGCUAAUCUGCAAAUAAAACCGACACACGGUCUGAUAAACGCUGGAUUCGAGUGUGACGCGACUCGCCUAAUGAGUGGUGUCUUGGUUGUAAACUGGUCCGGCUGAAGCAGAGCUCUGGGACGUGUGGACAGACAUUGACCGUAAUGAUGGACAUCUGCUCAUGGACAGCAUAACCGCUGCUGGUCACAGUGGCGGAAGCUCCAGGGGGAGACCGUAAUGAUAUCCCCCUUCUUUGGGCACGCCUUCACACACACUCCACCAUUCACUCAUAUCGCAGAGACCUGGCUGGGAUUGAACCAGCAACCUCUGAACCGUGAGGCAGCGCUCUUACCUGUGAGCCACAGGUCUCUUGUUGAACCACUGGAAGGAACUUAUAUUUGACUGUUUACCUGUGAUUUCCCAAUAAAGAAGUUAAAGUAAACUGGGUUUGUGAUUUUUGGAGGUGGGUUUUGAACCCAUGUCUCCAUCGCAAGUUCACCCUCAGAGAAUGUGUGUUUAUCCACUUACCCAUCAUGGAUUCCUUGUUGUUUUUUGGCGUUUGAGUGACUUUGUUGUCUGAGAUCAAUUUAAAGUAAGCAGUAGUGGGAUUUGAACUCAGAUCUCCCGGAGUAAAACACAAAGCUUUAUCAACUGAACCACUGAGUCUGUGGAGCUGAAUGACCACACGAGGGCGAAACCAGUUUAAGAUCAUUAGACUCGAUUGUAAUUCACAAAAAUCACCACAGGAGGGCGAAACCAGUUUAAGAUCAUUAGACUUGAUUGUAAUUCACAAAAAUCACCACACGAGGGCGAAACCAGUUUAAGAUCAUUAGACUCGAUUGUAAUUCACAAAAAUCACCACACGAGGGCGAAACCAGUUUAAAUUCAUUAGACUCGAUUGUAAUUCACAAAAAUCACCACAGGAGGGCGACACCAGUUUAGGAUCAUUAGACUCGUUUGUAAUUCACAAAAAUCACCACAG